GGCGAACGCUGGCGGCGUGCUUAACACAUGCAAGUCGAACGGAAAGGCCCCGCUUUUGUGGGGUGCUCGAGUGGCGAACGGGUGAGUAACACGUGAGUAACCUGCCCUUGACUUUGGGAUAACUUCAGGAAACUGGGGCUAAUACCGGAUAGGAGCUCCUGCUGCAUGGUGGGGGUUGGAAAGUUUCGGCGGUUGGGGAUGGACUCGCGGCUUAUCAGCUUGUUGGUGGGGUAGUGGCUUACCAAGGCUUUGACGGGUAGCCGGCCUGAGAGGGUGACCGGCCACAUUGGGACUGAGAUACGGCCCAGACUCCUACGGGAGGCAGCAGUGGGGAAUAUUGCACAAUGGGCGGAAGCCUGAUGCAGCAACGCCGCGUGCGGGAUGACGGCCUUCGGGUUGUAAACCGCUUUCGCCUGUGACGAAGCGUGAGUGACGGUAAUGGGUAAAGAAGCACCGGCUAACUACGUG
rnacentral:rRNA from 1 species